GACGAACGCUGGCGGCGUGCUUAACACAUGCAAGUCGAACGGAAAGGCGCUGCGUUUGUUGGGUGCUCGAGAGGCGAACGGGUGAGUAAAACGUGAGUAACAUGCCCUUGACUGUGGGGUAACUUCAGGAAAAUGGGGCUAUUACCGGGUAUGAGCUCCUGAUGCAUGGUGGGGGUUGGAAAGUUUCGGCGGUUGGGGCUGGUAUAGCGGCUUACCCGCUUGUUGGUGGGGUAGUGGCUGACAAAGGCUGCGACGGGUAGCCCGCCUGAGAGGGUGACCGGCCACAUUGGGACUGAGAUACGGACCAGAAUCCUACGGGCGGCAACAGGGGGGAAUAUUGCACAAUGGGCGGAAGCGUGAUGCAGCAGCGCCGCGUUCGGGAUGACGGCCUUCGGGUUGUAAACCGCUGUCGCCUGUGACGAAGCGGGAGUGACGGUAACGGGUAAAGAAGCACCGGCUAACUACGUG
rnacentral:rRNA from 1 species